AAUAUUUGAGUCUGUCAGGCAACCGUGCGACCACCCCAGCCACGUGUGGCUGAGAACGAUCCUCUACAGCUCACGGACCUCAAAGGAUCCUUAGCCGUUAAUCACGCUCUGAUCGUACGGCCAUGCUUCAUCUUCCAGACUGUGGUUCCUGUCUCCUUCGUGCUAAAGGACACAGAGGUACGAUCCUAUAGAACAGAUCCUGUUCAAGUAAGGUCGUGCACCGGUUUCCUUACCUCAGCAAUUAGAUGGACCGCUUCGUUGUUUCAACUUUUCGAUGUGGGAUUGUAACUCGCCUCCUUCAGGGAUUAAAUCGUCUUUUCGACACGCAAAGGCGAUUGUGGCACGCGUCUCUCACAUGACAAAAGCCGGCGAUAUCACUAUUUGUUAAAUAAUUCAAUUAUCAAGCUUCCAAAAAUAAAAUAGCAGCACAGAUUCCCAGUCCCGAGAGAGCAAGCAAGCUGGUUCGGGAGAUAUUCUUCUUCUUCUUCGUGCUUGUUAGAGAGAUCCGAUUAGGUUCCUCUGGUUACUCUAAGGUUAAACGUGAAUCAAAUUUAGAUCACCGACAGAGAGAGGGAGAGAAUGGGAGGGUAUGCUUUGGGGUCGGCUUUUGAUUUGAAAUCAGGGCAGAUGAUAAUGGUGGCUUUAUUAUUAAUGGUGGGUUCUUUCUACUUGGGCACUCUAUUUGGCAACAAUGCUCCCGUUUAUGUCUCUCAAUUCUCCUCUAAUUCCUCUUCCUCUUCAUCUCCUGAUAUGUUCACAUUUAGCAACAAAAUUGCUCGCUUUUAACUGAAAAUGGGAUGAAUAUAUGCCCCAUGAAGUUUAAUGAGUAAAUCCCUUGCCAUGAUGUUCUCCAAGUGAAAAGUCUACUCCCAAGCUUAGAUCUUUCUUGAAAAGAAGAGCUGGAGAGGCGUUGCCCUCCACCUGAAAAGCGUCUACUUGUGCUCGGUGCCACCCCAGAAGAUUAUAAAUUGCCAACCAGCAGGAAUCAUGUUUGGCAAAGCAAUGUGAAUCAGACACGUCUUGCUGCAGUCAAAGGAAUUGGGUGCAUGAAAAGGAUCAAUUACGGUGGUUUGCAGGAGGCGAUGAUCAUUUCAAAAUUCAAAGCACGGGGCACCGGAGUGCAUUUGGAGGUUGGAACUGUGACGACUAAUGAAACAUCUGCUGUCAGCUGGGGUUGUUGAAGUUCUGGAUGUUGGGCUGCGUGUUUGCUAGCUUCUCUGGUUGUCUCCUUCCCUUGGAAAUACAAACAUGUCUUCUUCUCCCAAAGGUGAUUCUUAUUUUUGUUUCGUUUUGGAAUUGAAGCAACUGCAGUCCGAACUGAUUGUACCUUAGAUGUAGGGUUUUUAAGAGUUUGGUUAUGUUGGACAUCACCGUUUUAGUGAGUUUGAAAGGAAUCAUUUAGAGUUGCA